GCGGCGUUAGCUCAGCUGGGAGAGCAACUGGUUUACACCCAGUAGGUCGGGGGUUCGAUCCCCUCAUGCCGCA
rnacentral:tRNA from 1 species